AUGGAGUCGACGGUGGUGGAACUUGACGCAUCAUCGUGUGUAGUCAUACUUGGUGUCCUCGGGGCAUUGGCUGUAGUCGUGGUACUUGGUGUGCAUCAACUAUUGACUGACAGUGUACAGGAAGCAGAGAGGUCUCUUGCGGUCUUGACAUCAACAGAGCUAGGCAGCGGAGAGCACACACAACAGGGCACGGCAGCAACGGGUCGGCCAAAGGAGGCACAGGCCAUGGCGCCAUGGAUGAGCCGUGACACCAGAUCCGGGUCGCGGGAGGGCGGAUCCAGCGGGGCGCGACAAGCAGGGGCCUGA
rnacentral:rRNA from 1 species